UACGGAGGGGGCUAGCGUUGUUCGGAAUUACUGGGCGUAAAGCGCACGUAGGCGGCUUUGUAAGUUAGAGGUGAAAGCCCGGGGCUCAACUCCGGAAUUGCCUUUAAGACUGCAUCGCUAGAAUUGUGGAGAGGUAAGUGGAAUUCCGAGUGUAGAGGUGAAAUUCGUAGAUUUCGGAAGAACACCAGUGGCGAAGGCGACUUACUGGACACAUAUUGACGCUGAGGUGCGAAAGCGUGGGGAGCAAACAGG
rnacentral:rRNA from 1 species